GUGAGGAAUAUUGGUCAAUGGGCGCAAGCCUGAACCAGCCAUGCCGCGUGCAGGAAGACGGUCCUAUGGAUUGUAAACUGCUUUUAUUUGGGAAUAAACUCCGGUACGUGUACCGGCCUGAAGGUACCAAAUGAAUAAGCACUGGCUAACUCCGUGCCAGCAGCCGCGGUAAUACGGAGGGUGCAAGCGUUAUCCGGAAUCAUUGGGUUUAAAGGGUCCGCAGGCGGUCUUAUAAGUCAGUGGUGAAAGCCUACAGCUCAACUGUAGAACUGCCAUUGAUACUGUAGGACUUGAAUUCGAUCGAAGUGGGCGGAAUGUGACAUGUAGCGGUGAAAUGCUUAGAUAUGUCACAGAACACCGAUAGCGAAGGCAGCUCACUAGGUCUGGAUUGACGCUCAGGGACGAAAGCGUGGGGAGCAAACAGGAUUAGAUACCCUAGUAGUCC
rnacentral:rRNA from 1 species